UUGUAAUCACCGCCUUGUCCUAAUUCCAUA
rnacentral:sRNA from 1 species